AAGUCGUAACAAGGUCUCCGUUGGUGAACCAGCGGAGGGAUCAUUACUGAGUACUACACUCUCUACCCUUUGUGAACUAUUAUACCUGUUGCUUCGGCGGCGCCCGCAAGGGUGCCCGCCGGUCUCAUCAGAAUCUCUGUUUUCGAACCCGACGAUACUUCUGAGUGUUCUUAGCGAACUGUCAAAACUUUUAACAACGGAUCUCUUGGCUCCAGCAUCGAUGAAGAACGCAGCGAAACGCGAUAUGUAAUGUGAAUUGCAGAAUUCAGUGAAUCAUCGAAUCUUUGAACGCACAUGGCGCCUUCCAGUAUCCUGGGAGGCAUGCCUGUCCGAGCGUCGUUUCAACCCUCGAGCCCCUGUGGCCCGGCGUUGGGGAUCUGCCACGGCAGGCCCCUAAAACCAGUGGCGGACCCGAAGGGCCCUCUCCUUUGCGCAGUAGCAUUCGCCUCGCAUCGGGAGUCCUCGGCGUCCUGCCUCUAAACCCCCCACAAGCCCGCUUCGGCGGCACCAAGGUUGACAUCGGAUCAGGUAGGAAUACCCGCUGAACUUAA
rnacentral:rRNA from 1 species